CGCCCGUCUGUCUUGCUGCGUGUCUUAUUGGAGCUCGCCGCGCGGUGGCACCGUGCGUCAGCCCCCUCCGCGCGCACCGCUCUCUCUGAGCCGCUGCUUAUAUGAUGCUGGAGAUCUUCGGCGCAACGGGCCGGUUCCUGGGCGGCAUUCAGCAUGACAGUUUGAUCUCUCACGAAUACCGUUUCGCACCCUCGUACACAGCGGAGCUUUACGCACAGCAUGCUUCGAUUGGACCAAGCGAAACCGUGGCGCACUGCAACGGGACUUGGAAAGUUACUUAAACCGAACGAAGCUUAUUCUGCGUCUGGGCGGACUCAGUGAACGGGAGGUCCUUCACUGCAAAAGACUCGUCUUGGGCAUAACAGAUAACAACGCGCCAGGAACAGAACUAACUUUUGGUUUACUAUAAUGAGAAUAGCACAGCUUCAUUGAUUAUGAGCGAAUUAUCACCCCUCUAAUCAUAUCCUGGGGACCGUUAUCAACAGUUCGCGAACUAGAGGCGUUUGCGCGCUGGACUGGGAAUAGGCUAUUGAUCAAACAUUUAUUACGUGAAUGCAUGAGAGUAGAGAGUGUGAAUGAAAGGACACAAGUCUGUUAUCAGUCUGCUGUGCUCUGGACUGUUGAAACUGAAGUUUUAACAUACUGUUCACAAACUCAAACCUACAGAGGAGUUUAACAGUAUUGAAGUUCAAGAUAUAAAUGUGAAGGAUUGGUCUCCUGAGUCACACAAGACCUCGGAAAGGACGCGCCAGAGACACUCCAGAACAUUACGCGCACAACUGUGACUGGACUGUGGAGGAGCAACAUGUACCCGGCGUGCCGGACAAACGCGUUCAGUAUCUCUCCAUCUGCCUCUCUGGCAAUGUUUGGGAAGUCGAGGAAAGCCAGAAAGAGACCCUGUUGGAUUGUAAUAUUGCUGUCGGUGCUCCUAAAUCUGGCGUCAGCACAAGGGCGUUUGGUGGAGAGAGGCAGAUGGAAGUGCCUGUGGGAUUGUGGGAAGGCAGAAACAGAGGGAGAAGGAGCUAUGUGGAGGGUUGGAGAGAUUGGUUAUGGUGGGUGCCAUGCGGUGCCAGGGUCCGUCUCUGCCCUCUGGACAUUUGUGCCAGUCCCGCUUGGUGGUCAUCCAGGCACACAACCCUGCCAAUUAAAGACCGCCUCCCAGGCUGCCCCGAGCUUCCUGCUCCACCUCUCUCUCUCUCUCUCUCUCUCACACACACACACACUUACUCCUUCAUUCCUCCGCUCCUUCUGUCAGUCCCUCUCCAUCCCCUUCCCAUUGCCUCUUGUGGUUUCCGCACACGAGUGUCUCUUGUUUCCCCUCAGUUCUUUUCCUCAUCAUUAUCCAGCUUUAGACCUAAAGCCAGUUAACCCACUUUCAGCUCUCAGAGCAGGAUCUGGCCAAGAAAACCCCUUCCAGCCCUGACAUACUUAAACCACACAUUUGAUAUUACCAGGCCUGUUAUUCAUCUCUCUCUCUCUCUCUCUCUCUCUCUCUCCUCUCUCUCUCUGUGUGUGUGUGUGUGUGUGUUUGGAGAAAUUGUAAAACUGAUCCAUUAGACUUAUUUGCUGAAAACUUCUCAAAAUCUAUCUAUCUAUAUCUAUCUAUCUAUCUAUCUAUCUAUCUAUCUAUCUAUCUAUCUAUCUAUCUAUCUAUCUAUCUAUCCAUCUAUCUAUCUAUCUAUCUAUCUAUCUAUCUAUCUAUCUAUCUAUCUAUCUAUCUAUCUAUCUAUCUAUCUCUGCCUGUCUGUCUGUCUUCUAUGUAUAUAACAGUUUCUUUGGAAUUCAAUUCACUUUAAUUUUACUUCCUUGCAUUCACAUUUUUAAUUACAAUUCCACAUCCUGUUUGUUAUUGCAUUUUAAAAUCCAAAUUCAAAGGCACUGUCAAAUGGUACACUCUCUCAGUCACACACACAACAAAUAAAUAGGAAUCAGCGAAGUCUCAUCUAGAUUUCUCCAAUAUUGCCAAGAGUGGCAUGAAAGCACUCGGCCCAUAUGGGCUGGACAGAUGUCGGAGGGUGACACACCUAUCAUGUGGACCCUAAUUCUAUUUUCCUCAAUGUCUCUGAAGCCAGAAGCACCUCUCAUCACAUUGUACACUGAUGCUCUUUUUGUUCCCAACCUCCACCAGUGGCAUCCUGACCACCUUCCACACCUGUGCCCUGUCAUGAGUCUCCAUAACGGCCAGCAGACCCUCAUUUAAUGGAUCUCUAAAAUCAGUAUAAAAGUUUCCACAAAGGCUAUGUUCACACAGAUGUGAAAUAUAGUCCUGUUUAUAGAGAGCCACAUAUGAUUAUAUUCAAAAAACAGUUUGGUUAGGAAUAAAAGUGCCAAAUGCAUUCUAUUGCCAACCUAUAUAUGAGAGUGAGAUCGCACUUAGAGAUAGCAUGAACUUUCCAAUGUGUACAUACUUUGUAUUGUUUGCAUUUAAAGUCACUGUCAGUUAAUUAAGAUUUAACAGAUGUGCAAUAACGUUAAAUAGCGUUGUGUUAACUGCGAUAAGACUUUCCAGUGUUACAGAAACUGCCG
ensembl:lncRNA